AGUGAACGCUGGCGGUAGGCCUAACACAUGCAAGUCGAACGGCAGCACAGUAAGAGCUUGCUCUUACGGGUGGCGAGUGGCGGACGGGUGAGGAAUACAUCGGAAUCUACUUUUUCGUGGGGGAUAACGUAGGGAAACUUACGCUAAUACCGCAUACGACCUACGGGUGAAAGCAGGGGAUCUUCGGACCUUGCUCGAUUGAAUGAGCCGAUGUCGGAUUAGCUAGUUGGCGGGGUAAAGGCCCACCAAGGCGACGAUCCGUAGCUGGUCUGAGAGGAUGAUCAGCCACACUGGAACUGAGACACGGUCCAGACUCCUACGGGAGGCAGCAGUGGGGAAUAUUGGACAAUGGGUGCAAGCCUGAUCCAGCCAUACCGCGUGGGUGAAGAAGGCCUUCGGGUUGUAAAGCCCUUUUGUUGGGAAAGAAAAGCAGCAGGUUAAUACCCCGCUGUUCUGACGGUACCCAAAGAAUAAGCACCGGCUAACUUCGUG
rnacentral:rRNA from 1 species